UACGAAGGGUGCAAGCGUUGCUCGGAAUUAUUGGGCGUAAAGGGUAGGUAGGUGGUCGUAAAAGUCUGGAGUGAAAUCCCUAAGCUUAACUUAGGACGUGCUUUGGAAACUUUAUGACUAGAGUACUAGAGAGGUUCGUGGAAUUCCUGGUGUAGCGGUGAAAUGCGUAGAGAUCAGGAGGAACAUCAGCGGCGAAGGCGGCGAACUGGAUAGUAACUGACACUCAACUACGAAAGCGUGGGGAGCAAACAGG
rnacentral:rRNA from 1 species